AUAAUGAUACACCCGUAUGACACGGCUACUCAUAAGAAUGAGAGGGGUGCAAGUCCCGUGG
rfam:Lachnospiraceae bacterium M18-1 genomic scaffold acPFy-supercont1.1, whole genome shotgun sequence.